GACAGAGGGUGCAAACGUUGUUCGGAAUUACUGGGCGUAAAGCGAGUGUAGGCGGUUUGGUAAGUCGGAUGUGAAAGCCCCGGGCUCAACCCGGGAAGUGCACUCGAAACUGCCAAGCUAGAGUAUCGGAGAGGUUGGUGGAAUUCUCGGUGUAGAGGUGAAAUUCGUAGAUAUCGAGAGGAACACCGGUGGCGAAGGCGGCCAACUGGACGAAUACUGACGCUGAGACUCGAAAGCGUGGGGAGCAAACAGG
rnacentral:rRNA from 1 species